GACGAACGCUGGCGGCGUGCUUAACACAUGCAAGUCGAACGGAAAGGCCCUGCUUUUGUGGGGUGCUCGAGUGGCGAACGGGUUAGUAACACGUGAUUAACCUGCCCUUGACUUUGGGAUAACUUCAGGAAACUGGGGCUAAUACCGGAUAGGAGCUCCUGCUGCAUGGUGGGGGUUGGAAAGUUUCGGCGGUUGGGGAUGGACUCGCGGCUUAUCAGCUUGUUGGUGGGGUAGUGGCUUACCAAGGCUUUGACGGGUAGCCGGCCUGAGAGGGUGACCGGCCACAUUGGGACUGAGAUACGGCCCAGACUCCUACGGGAGGCAACAGUGGGGAAUAUUGCACAAUGGGCGGAAGCCUGAUGCAGCAACGCCGCGUGCGGGAUGACGGCCUUCGGGUUGUAAACCGCUUUCGCCUGUGACGAAGCGUGAGUGACGGUAAUGGGUAAAGAAGCACCGGCUAACUACGU
rnacentral:rRNA from 1 species